AAGACAAGGGCAGGGAUGGUCUAAGGCAAAACACUGCCGUGUGAGUAGGGGUAGAUGUCACCAGUCCAGGGCAAUGGUUGCUUUCCGUGAGGGAAGCAGCUGGGAGCUCCUGGCAGUUGAAAUGAGUGCUGUCUCGUGCCCUCUGCUCCCCAUCCUUACAGAACAGAGCCUGUUGUGUGGAACCUGUUCAGGCUGGAGAUGGUGGAAAGGCUAAAGUUCAAGUUCACAGACCCAAAAUGUGUGUGAUGAGAAGAGCAAAUCAGAGAUCUCCCAAUUAUCCAUUUUGCUGCAGGGAACCAUAGCAGCAGUGUUACACA